CCUACGGGGGGCAGCAGUGGGGAAUAUUGGGCAAUGGGCGCAAGCCUGACCCAGCAACGCCGCGUGAAGGAAGAAGGCUUUCGGGUUGUAAACUUCUUUUCUGAGGGACGAAGAAAGUGACGGUACCUCAGGAAUAAGCCACGGCUAACUACGUGACAGCAGCCGCGGUAAUACGUAGGUGGCAAGCGUUAUCCGGAUUUAUUGGGUGUAAAGGGCGGGUAGGGGGGAAAGUAAGUCAGAUGUGAAAACUCAGGGCUCAACCCUGAGCCUGCAGUUGAAACUGUUUGUCUUGAGUGCUGGCAGGGAAGUCGGAAUUCCGUGUGUAGCGGUGAAAUGCGUAGAUAUACGGAGGAACCCCGGUGGCGAAGGCGGAUUGCUGGACAGUAACUGACGCUGAGGCGCGAAAGCGUGGGGAGCAAACAGGAUUAGAUACCCGUGUAGUC
rnacentral:rRNA from 1 species